rnacentral:rRNA from 1 species
AUUGAACGCUGGCGGCAGGCCUCACACAUGCAAGUCGAGCGAGCGGCGGACGGGUGCGUAAUGUAUGGGGACUGCCCGAUAGAGGGGGAUAACUACUGGAAACGGUGGCUAAUACCGCAUACUAUCGGAAAACCCAUAUGGGAUUAUCUAGUAGGUGGGGUAAAGGACCACCUGGGCAACGAUCUCUUGCGGGUCUGAGGGGAUGAUCAGCACAACUGGGACUAAGACACGGCCCGGCCUCCUACGGAGUCAGCGUUGGGAACUUUGUCACAUUGGGCGCAGGCCUGAUGCGGCCAUGCCGCGGGUAUAAGGAAGGCCUUAGGGUUGUAAAGUCUUUUCUGCGGGGAGGCGUAACCCGCAGAAGAAGCACCGGCUACCUCGGUGCCAGCAGCCGCGUAAUUC